CCUACGGGAGGCAGCAGUGGGGGAUAUUGCGCAAUGGGCGAAAGCCUGACGCAGCGACGCCGCGUGAGGGAUGAAGGCCUUCGGAUCGUAAACCUCUGUCAGCAGGGAAGAACGGUCCCUGUGCUAAUCAGCAUUGAAUUUACGGUACCUGCAAAGGCAGCACCGGAUAACUCCGUGCCAGCAGCCGCGGUAAUACGGAGGGUGCGAGCGUGAAUCGGAAUUACUGGGCGUAAAGCGCUCGUAGGCGGUAUGUCAAGUCAAGGGUGAAAUCCCCGCGCUCAACGUGGGCACUGCAUUUGGAACUGGCGAACUUGAGUGUGUGGGAGGAUAGUGGAAUUCCAGGUGUAGGAGUGAAAGCCGUAGAGAUCAGGAGGAACACCAGUGGCGAAGGCGACUAUCUGGCACAUAACUGACGCUGAGGAGCGAAAGCGUGGGUAGCAAACAGGAUUAGAUACCCGGGUAGUC
rnacentral:rRNA from 1 species